rnacentral:rRNA from 1 species
GGGGGUAGAGCACUGUUUCGGCUAGGGGGCCAUCCCGGCUUACCAACCCGAUGCAAACUCCGAAUACUGACAAGUUNGAGCAUGGGAGACACACGGCGGGUGCUAACGUUCGUCGUGAAGAGGGAAACAACCCAGACCGCCAGCUAAGGUCCCCAAGUCAUGGUUAAGUGGGNAACNAUGUGGGAAGGCNUAGACAGCCAGGAUGUUGGCUUAGAAGCAGCCAUCAUUUAAAGAAAGCGUAAUAGCUCACUNGUCGAGUCGGCCUGCGCGGAAGAUGUAACGGGGCUAAAACUAUGCACCGAAGCUGCGGCAGUAUGUGAAAGCAUAUUGGGUAGGGGAGCGUUCUGUAAGCCUGUGAAGGUAUCCUGAGAGGGGUGCUGGAGGUAUCAGAAGUGCGAAUGCUGACAUAAGUAACGAUAAAGCGGGUGAAAAGCCCGCUCGCCGGAAGACCAAAGGGUUCCNGGUCCAACGUUAAUCGGGGCAGGGUGAGUCGACCCCUAAGGCGAGGCNGANAUGCGUAGCUGAUGGGAAACGGGUUAAUAUUCCCGUACUAGAUAUAACUGCGAUGGGGUGACGGAGAAGGCUAGGUUUACCAUAUAUUGGAUAAUGGGUUAAGCGUGUAGGGGUGUGAUUAGGCAAAUCCGGUCACUGAGACGCUGAGGUGUGAUGACGAGUCACUAAGGUGGCGGAGUAAUUGAUGCCAUGCUUCCAGGAAAAACCUCUAAGCAUCAGGUUAUAUGUAAUCGUACCCGAAACCGACACAGGUGGUCAGGUAGAGAAUACUAAGGCGCUUGAGAGAACUCGGGUGAAGGAACUAGGCAAAAUGGUGCCGUAACUUCGGGAGAAGGCACGCUGAUGGUAAUUGAAGUCCCGCGCGGAUGNAGGUGAAAUCAGUCGAAGAUACCAGCUGGCUGCAACUGUUUAAUAAAAACACAGCACUGUGCAAACACGAAAGUGGACGUAUACGGUGUGACGCCUGCCCGGUGCUGGAAGGUUAAUUGAUGGGGUUAUGCGCAAGCAGAAGCUCUUGAUCGAAGCCCCAGUAAACGGCGGCCGUAACAAUAACGGUCCUAAGGUAGCGAAAUUCCUUGUCGGGUAAGUUCCGACCUGCACGAAUGGCGUAAUGAUGGCCAGGCUGUCUCCACCCGAGACUCAGUGAAAUUGAAAUUGCCGUGAAGAUGCGGUGUACCCGUGGCAAGACGGAAAGACCCCGUNAANCUUUACUAUAGCUUGACAGUGAACAUUGAGCCUUAAUGUGUAGGAUAGGUGGGAGACUGAGAAGUGUGUACGCCAGUAUGCAUGGAGUCGACCUUGAAAUACCACCCUUUAAUGUUUGAUGUUCUAACCUAUGCUUCUGAAUCGAGGCAAGGGACACUGUCUGGUGGGUAGUUUGACUGGGGCGGUCUCCUCCCAAAGAGUAACGGAGGAGCACGAAGGUUAGCUAAUCCUGGUCGGACAUCAGGAGGUUAGUGCAAUGGCAAAAGCUAGCUUGACUGCGAGAGUGACGGCUCGAGCAGGUACGAAAGUAGGUCAUAGUGAUCCGGUGGUUCUGAAUGGAAGGGCCAUCNCUCAACACGGAUAAAAGNNNCUNCGGGGAUAACAGGCUGAUACCGCCCAAGAGUUCAUAUCGACGGCGGUGUUUGGCACCUCGAUGUCGGCUCAUCNCAUCCUGGGGCUGAAGUAGGUCCCAAGGGUACGGCUGUUCGCCGUUUAAAGUGGUACGCGAGCUGGGUUUAGAACGUCGUGAGACAGUUCGGUCCCUAUCUGCCAUGGGCGUAGGAAAAUUGAGAGGGUUUGCUUCUAGUACGAGAGGACCGAAGUGAACGCACCGCUGGUGUUCGGGUUGUGAUGCCGAUUGCAUUGCCCGGUAGCUACGUGCGGAAUAGAUAAGUGCUGAAAGCAUCUAAGUACGAAACUAGCCUCGAGAUGAGUUUUCCCUGAUGAGAAUCAGUAAGGUCCGUUUGAGACUAAGACGUAGAUAGGUCAGGUGUGUAAGUGUAGUGAUACAUUGAGCUAACUGAUACUAAUGAGCCGAGAGGUGGAGGU